rnacentral:rRNA from 1 species
AGAGUUUGAUCCUGGCUCAGGAUGAACGCUGACAGAAUGCUUAACACAUGCAAGUCGACUCGAGUCUUCGGACUUGGGUGGCGCACGGGUGAGUAACGCGUAAAGAACUUGCCUCUUAGACUGGGACAACAUCUGGAAACGGAUGCUAAUACCGGAUAUUAUGGUUUUUUCGCAUGGAGGAAUCAUGAAAGCUAGAUGCGCUAAGAGAGAGCUUUGCGUCCCAUUAGCUGGUUGGUGAGGUAACGGCCCACCAAGGCAAUGAUGGGUAGCCGGCCUGAGAGGGUGAACGGCCACAAGGGGACUGAGACACGGCCCUUACUCCUACGGGAGGCAGCAGUGGGGAAUAUUGGACAAUGGACCACAAGUCUGAUCCAGCAAUUCUGUGUGCACGAUGACGUUUUUCGGAAUGUAAAGUGCUUUCAGUCGGGAAGAAGUCAGUGACGGUACCGACAGAAGAAGCGACGGCUAAAUACGUGCCAGCAGCCGCGGUAAUACGUAUGUCGCAAGCGUUAUCCGGAUUUAUUGGGCGUAAAGCGCGUCUAGGCGGCAAGGAAAGUCUGAUGUGAAAAUGCGGAGCUCAACUCCGUAUGGCGUUGGAAACUGCCUUACUAGAGUACUGGAGAGGUAGGCGGAACUACAAGUGUAGAGGUGAAAUUCGUAGAUAUUUGUAGGAAUGCCGAUGGGGAAGCCAGCCUACUGGACAGAUACUGACGCUAAAGCGCGAAAGCGUGGGUAGCAAACAGGAUUAGAUACCCUGGUAGUCCACGCUGUAAACGAUGAUUACUAGGUGUUGGGGGUCAAACCUCAGCGCCCAAGCUAACGCGAUAAGUAAUCCGCCUGGGGAGUACGUACGCAAGUAUGAAACUCAAAGGAAUUGACGGA